rnacentral:sRNA from 1 species
UUUUAGCCCCGGUAGUAGCGGCAUCCUUUGCUUUUUUUCUUUAAAAAAGCAAAGAUAUAGCGGAUGACGGGUUCUAUG